UACGUAGGGGGCAAGCGUUGUCCGGAAUCAUUGGGCGUAAAGAGCGUGUAGGCGGCCAGAUAAGUCCGCUGUGAAAUCUCGAGGCUCAACUUCGAGCUGUCGGUGGAAACUGUCUGGCUAGAGUCCGGAAGAGGAGAAUGGAAUUCCUGGUGUAGCGGUGAAAUGCGCAGAUAUCAGGAGGGACACCAGUGGCGAAGGCGGCUUACUGGUCCGGAUCUGACGCUGAGGCGCGAAAGCGUGGGGAGCAAACAGG
rnacentral:rRNA from 1 species